AGUCUGGCGUGGGGAGGACAGCCCGACAUCAGGAGACCCUCGUUCUUUCCCCUCCUCUUUCCUGUGGCCUCCCAGGGGGCAGGAUCAUAAGAAUCAGGCAAAACAAC
rnacentral:lncRNA from 1 species